GACGAACGCUGGCGGCGGGCCUAAUACAUGCAAGUAGAACGCACAGUCUAUACCGUAGCUCGCUACACCAUAGACUGUGAGUUGCGAACGGGAGAGUAACGCGUAUGUAAUCUUCCGGGGAGCGGGGGAUAACUAUUGUAAACGAUAGCUAAUACCGCAUAAUAGUAAUUAAUGCAGGAUAAUUAAUUGAAUGGUCCAAUGGCACCACUACCAGAUGAACCUGCGUUUUAUUAGCUAGUAGGUGAGGUAACGGCUCACCUAGGCGACGAUACAUAGCCGACCUUAGAGGGUGAUCGGCCCACAUGGGACUGAGAACCCGCCCCGACUCCUAAGGGAGGCAGCAGUAGGGAAUCAUCGGCAAUGGACGAAAGUCUGAACGCGCAACGACGGGUGAGUGAAGAAAGGUUUCGGAUUGUAAAGCUCUGUUGUAAGAGAAGAAAGGGUGUGAGAGUGGAAAGCUCACAUUGUGACGGUAUCUUAACAGAAAGGGACGGCUAACUACGUG
rnacentral:rRNA from 1 species